CGGCGCACCGCCGUCCGCCCUCCCGGCAGCGGAGCUCCUCCUCUCCUGGCUCCGUGGCGGCCCCCGGGUCCAAUUUCCAGCAACAACUACUAUUACUACUGCUCCUCCUCCUCCUCCUACAACUGCUCUCCAUUAUUAUGGUAGCCAUAGCUACAUGCUGAAAUACUGUUUUUUUUUUUUGGAGAGUAUCUCAUAGCAUAUAGUUGUGAAAACCGGCCUGACAUUAUAUGAGGCAAGUCCAAUC
rnacentral:lncRNA from 1 species